rnacentral:rRNA from 1 species
GUGACCUGCGGAAGGAUCAUUAACGAAUUGUAAUGGGGGUUGAUGCUGGCAAGCUAUCAUUUUAGCUGCAUGUUGCUCACCUUCAACAAUCAUUAUCCCAAACACCUGUGCACCUUUUGAGGGGUAGUUUCUAAGUAGAUUCCGCUGCCUGUUGGUAGUGGGAUUAUCUUGGAUCCUUUCCCUUCUUUCACACAUACACUAUUUACAAUAUUGAACGUGAUUGUGCCGUAAGGCCUUAAUAAAAAUACAACUUUUAACAACGGAUCUCUUGGCUCUCGCAUCGAUGAAGAACGCAGCGAAAUGCGAUAAGUAAUGUGAAUUGCAGAAUUCAGUGAAUCAUCGAAUCUUUGAACGCACCUUGCGCUCCUUGGUAUUCCGAGGAGCACGCCUGUUCGAGUGUCGUGAAGUUCUCAAGCUAGGUGCUUUUUUGCUUGACAAAAAUGCGGUUAGCUUGGUAUUGGGCUUUGCCGUGUCCUUCAUUUGGAACGGCUGGUCUUAAAGACAUUAGCUUGACCCUUCACGUGGUAUUGGUUCUACUCAGCGUGAUAAUAAUCUAACCGCUGAGGACAUCUUUUGGGGUGGCCAAUUCUUGUUGGGGUUGCUUUCUAAUCUGGUUUGCAAGAUUCUUGAAUCCUGCUCCAUUUUUCAAUUUUGACCUCNAAUCAGGUGGGACUACCCGCUGAACUUAAGCAUAUCAU